GGAGAAGCUUGGUGCGGGUGGUUUUCCUGAUGGAACUAGGUUGUUCUUGUCAGAGCUCGGGGCCUCCCUGACACUGGGAAUGGCUGCUGCUUCAAUCAGGGGAGCUCUCAUCUUUACUGUGUGCAUCACUUCCUGCUCCAAUGUGGAUCCCUCAGCCUGGUUUGAGGCACUGCUGGACAGUGCUCUGCAUCGCCGGUUUGCAACAUCGCCACACGACCGACUCACCCCUGCCAAUCUCCACCGGAAAGGCGACAAGGAGCAAGACAUUACUUCUAGAAGGAUCUUUCUCAGUAUUGGGAAUCAAACCCAGACUCAAGCACUCCAUCAAGGAGCUGCUUCUCCAGCCUGCUUGUGCUAGAUGGACCUCUGCAGCGCUGAAACUCCAACGACGGCAGUGAGUGACACCUUGGACCGAUCCAUCCAGCUCCUGAGUACCGUGCUGUUCUGGGCUCUGGGCUCCCAGCUCCCCCCACCCCCUGGGGUAUUCUGCAAUGACGACUUUUUCUCUCUGUCUCUCUUGACUCUGCCUCAGCCAACACCUUGGUGACCAUGUAGAAUUCUAAGUGACCUAAGACCUGCACAGCACUUACGUUCUCAAGUGUAGGCAUUUUACUGUGGGCAUACGUGAAAUAACUUCAUCGAAUAUAGCGAGGAAAAGCAGCAGUCACGCAGGAGAAAUCUGCUCUUUCAACAUAUCAAGUGAAGUUUUGCAUUAAUUUAUAUUUUUAUUCUGGUAGAGAUAUUUUCUUCAAGAACAAUUAGACAUUAAACAAAUUCUAGUUUUACCUAUCCAGUUUACAUGUAUAAUACUUGGUCCUACCCUCUCCUUUUUUUCUAUAAAGGGAUGACUGAUUUUAAAUUCCCACAGUAAUUUACACAAGUAUCUGUACACCCAAACUGGCUGGCUUAGGAGUGAUCUUGCCAUUCUUAAAGUCUUUGAGAAAUUCAGGAAAGAUUCAAGUGACUUCUGCUUAGUUUUGACGGGGCUAAUGUGAUCAGCAACAUAGAAAGUCACAGGCACCAAACAUUGUACUAGAGAGACCUACAUAGUUUUGUUGUCGUUGUUGUAUUGCCUGCCAUUCGAAUGUGAAAGAAACUGUCAACAUAGAUUUUGAAAAAAAAGAUUUUUGUCCAAUAAAACAGACUACAAGUUCAGUCCUAUACUGCUAACCUAUUGCUGUAGGACAUAGUACCCUAAAAUUCAGCAGCUUAAACCAAUCCCAGUUUCCCCAGGUUGUGUGGACCAUGGGUCUGGGCAUGGACCCUCACAAGACCACUGUCCGGAGAGAGCUGGGAUCCUGAGCUUCCGGUGGGAAAGCUCUCAUAGAAGUUCUCACACACGGCUGUCGGUACUCUACUCAGCAAUGAGUCUCCAGGUCAGCGGUUUGCACUGGUGUUUACCCCUCGUCCAAAGGCACCCGC
rnacentral:lncRNA from 1 species